ACAGCAGCCUUAAGUUAGCCAUGGUCUUAGACCAGUGGUUCUCAACUGUUGUCACCCUGGGAUCUUGCUGAAAACAUAUGCAAAGACAUAACAAUAUAGUGCUGGAUUUUUGAGAUAUAGCUUAAGCAUCUUUUUCACUGUUUGAAUUUUCCUGAUUUUGUGGGCGGGGCUAAAACACAGGCAUAUACUUUGUAGCACAAGUUCCCUCCCCCACUAUGUAAGUAGAAAGUGACAUCAUUUCGUUUGGCCGAUCAGUUGAGUGUUAGCUCUGCUUUGCUUCCAUAACAAGCCCCAUUUACCACUCCAGCGUGCAGUUAGCAAGCUAACAAGGGCUACACCCCGAAAAUGCGUUUUCGCUGGAUGCCUUUGUACAUCAUGACGCUGAAUUUACAGAACAGUUCGGUGAUGUUUUUUUAAGCUUAAAAAAAAAAAGAGGAAAUCAAAAACUAUAGAUUGACUUUUUAAAGACACGCGGAUGGCGAGCUGACCUUCAACGCGACUCUGCAGUGCGCACUUUGCGACGGACAGUUUUGUAAACUUUCACCAGAGACAAAAUGGCUUCGUGGGUAACUUGAUACGAUUGAAUGGCGCAGUGCCGACUAACUACUUGGGCUACCUCCAACCGUCCCGCUGUCGUCAGGUGCUGUGUUCGGCUAUGACAUUAUGUGAGGACUCCAAGAUACUCCUCCACUUGGAGUAGGAUGUCAUCCCUGACCUGGAGAGGGCACGCCACCCUUUUCCAACUGAGGACCAUGGUCUCAGAUUUGGAGGUGCUGAUUUUCGUUGCGGCCGCUUCACACUCGGCUGCAAACCGCUCCAGUGAAAGUUGGAGAUCACGGCUUGAUGAAGCCAACAGAGCCACAUCAUCUGCAUAAAGCAGAGAUGCAUUACUGAGGCCACCAAACUGGACCCCGUCUACGCCUCGGCUGCGCCUAGAAAUUCUGUCCAUAAAAGUAAUGAGCAGAAUCGGUGACAAAGGGCAGCCUUGGCGGAAUCCAACCCUCUCCGUAAAGGAGUCUGACUCACUGCCAGCAAUGCGGACCAAACUCUGGCACUGGUCAUACAGGGCCUGAACAGCCCAUAUCGGGGGGAUCGGUACGUCAUACUCCCGAAACACCCCCCGACAGGACUCCCUGAGGGACACGGUCGAAUGCCUUCUCCAAGUCCACAAAACACAUGUUGGUUGGGCGAACUCCCAUGCACCCUUGAGGACCCUGCCGAGGUUGUAGAGCUGGUCCACUGCUGCACGGCCAGGACGAAAACCACCUCGGUGACCUCAACCCCAGAGAUAGGAGAGCCUGCCUCAGAGAUCCCAGACUCUGCUUCCUCAUGGGGCAGGCGUGUCGAUGGAAUUGAGGAGGUCUUCGAAGUAUUCUCCCCACCUACUCACAACGUCCCAAGUCGAGGUCAGCAAUCCCCCAUCGACCCACUAUACAUAGUGUUGAUGGUGCACUGCUUCCCCCUCUGAAGACACCGGACGGUGGACCAGAAUUUCCUCGAAGCUUUCCUGAAGUCUUUGUCCAUGGCCUCACAGAACUCCUCCAACGCCAGAGUUUUUGCUUCAGCGACCACCAAAGCUGCAUUCCGCUUGGCCAGCCGGUACCCAUCAGCUGCCUCAGGAGUCCCACAGGCCAAAAAGGCCCGAUAGGACUCCUUCUUCAUCUUGACGGCAUCCGACCACCUUACGGCCAACAGCUCCGUUCGGCCGCCUCAGCAAUGGAGGCGCGGAACAUGGUCCACUCGGACUCAGUGUCCCCGCCCCCCCUGGAACAUCAGUAAAGUUCUGUCGGAGGUGGGAUUUGAAACUUCUUCUGACAGGGGAUUCUGCCAGCAGACCCUCAGAAUAUGUUUGGGCCAGCCAGAUGGGACCGGCAUCUUCCCCCACCAUCGGAGCCAACUCACCACCAGGUGGUGAUCAGUUGAUAGUUCUGCCCCUCUCUUCAACCGAGUGUCCAAGACAUGCGGCUGCAAUUCCGAUGACAACCACAAAGUCGAUCAUCGAACUGCGACCUUGGGUGCCCUGGGGCCAAGUGCACGUGUGGACACCCUUAUGCUCACACAUGGUGUUCGUUAUGGACAAUCCAUGCGUUCCGCCCAAUCACAAUCCAUGCGUUCCGCCCAAUCACACCCUUCCAGGUCUCACUGAUAUUGCCCACGUGAGCAUUGAAGUCCCCCAGCAGAACAAUGGAGUCCCCAGCAGGAGCGCUCUCCAGCACCACCUCUAAGGACUCCAAAAAGUGUGGGUACUCUGAACUGCUGUUUGGUGCAUAGGCACAAACAGCAGUGAGGACCCAUCCCCCACCCGAAGAAUGAAUGAAUUGAACUGCAGAGCUCUUACCUCAACUGGUGGGAAACACAGAAGUCAAUGCACAUCCAGAUCAGCAUCAAGCACCAGAACUGGAGAGAGUCUUACCUUCAGCACUUCCAUGGGCACCUGUGCAGCGGCUGGUGCAGGGACGGUGACAUUGAUGGCAGGGGUCUGUGUAGCUGUGGUUUGCGGGUACUGGGAGUCCU